GUGAGGAAUAUUGGUCAAUGGGCGGGAGCCUGAACCAGCCAAGUCGCGUGAAGGAAGAAGGAGCUAUGGUUCGUAAACUUCUUUUGCAGGGGAAUAAAGUGCAGGACGUGUCCUGUUUUGUAUGUACCCUGAGAAUAAGGAUCGGCUAACUCCGUGCCAGCAGCCGCGGUAAUACGGAGGAUCCGAGCGUUAUCCGGAUUUAUUGGGUGUAAAGGGUGCGUAGGUGGUAUGAUAAGUUAGCGGUGAAAGUUUGCAGCUUAACUGUAAAAAUGCCGUUGAAACUGUCGGACUUGAGUGUAAAUGAGGUAGGCGGAAUGCGUGGUGUAGCGGUGAAAUGCAUAGAUAUCACGCAGAACUCCGAUUGCGCAGGCAGCUUACUUAGCUACAACUGACACUGAAGCACGAAAGCGUGGGGAUCAAACAGGAUUAGAAUCCCUUGUAGUCC
rnacentral:rRNA from 1 species